UUAGUGAAACUUUACAAAGCUUGACUUUGACCAAACCUAAUAUGCAGACUAAAAAGAAACGAAGGGAGUAUUUUGUAAACUAACAUGAAGAAGAUCAACAUUAUUAUCUAUGUUUCUGACUAUUCUGCAAAAUCUAGCUUGUUCUAGUCCUACAAUUUCGUAGUUGUUGUUGAAUACAAUACACUAAAAAUGUAUGCAAUACCACUGUAUAUAAUGGUUGAGUGUAAGAUAACCAGUUUCGAUCUUUCUCUGAUCAUAAUUGAUUCCCGUGAACCAACAGCUAGAAGAUCUUGCCCAAUAAUUUGUAAGUCCAUGGAACAGGCCAGUUGUGUAUGAUACAGACAGUGCCGGUCGGCUAUGGUAAAGUAAAAUACACGAGAAACUAAUGCUGUUUUAAUAUUACUAUAACAGAAGUAGAACAAGCCGUCCGUCCAAUCAAUAUUACUGCACUGUGGACCAAGACACAUAAUUCUGGUUGGCCAUGAUUAUCCGUUUUAUGGCACCCAAUUCUUUCACCACAGCGCCCAUCUUUAUGCGCUGUCUUGCAGAGCCCCUGCAGCAAGCUAGACCAAGUCUUGAAACUGGAGCAGCGAACAAUUCUAAAGUCACUUGAGGCUCUUGAUCGCAUCUUAUAUUGACGUCCAUUAUAUCCAACAGAUUACCAGGACAUGCCAUCUCAACGUACUUUGGUAGAUUCGUAGUAUCACCGAAAAAUGGGUCAGUUGGCCUUCUCCCAGUAAGCAUCUCCAACAAUAGCACACCAUAGCUGUACACGUCGCCUUCCACAGAUAUUCCUGUCCCCGUGCCAUACUCUGGUAAAGAAAGGAAAAGAAAGGGUUUGUGUUAGCUUUCUUAUAAACUACUCCCUCUGUUCCGAAAUAGUUGUCGUCGGGGAUUAUCAGUUCAUUUUUUGUCACGUUACGAUAUUUCUCCCGUUUCCCCUUUUGCCCUCGCACUCGCUCUCUCCCCGACCACACGCUCUCUCCCGGCCAACACUCUCUCCCCGACCACUCGCUCCUCCCCGCCCAGAUCCCUUGCGCCGCCGGCCAGUCGCCGCCCUCUCCCUCUCGUCGGUGUCUUCCUCACCGCAGCCUUGCUCCUCACCACCCCUAAAACUAGCAACCCGUCUCCCCCUCGUCGGUCAAAGGUGAAAUUUUUACCAGCCGGGGUGCUCGAUCUGUGGGCGGCGGUGCUCGAUCCGUGUUGGAGCAGCGGGAGGAGGAGGGCAGUGCUGGAUUGGAGCAGUGGUGCUGGACCGGAGCAGCGGGAAUAGGGGGGUGGUGCCGGCCGCUCUUACUUUGUGUAGUCCUCUUCGCUCUCGUCAUGUCGUUGCCGCCGCCGAGGAAGAUGGAGAGCCUGUCGGAGGGAGGAGCGCCAUGGCCAGUUCUGACCUCCUCCGUCCAGAUCCAGCUCCAGCAAUCAUCCCCUCUUGCUGCUUGCUCUCUCAAUUUCAAGACUGAAGAAGAGAACAUGGGGAGCAGCAGCUGCCCUCUGCUCUGCUCUUAUGCGAAUGCUCUACUGCAGGACCGUGGCAGCGAUGCUCGCCGAAGCGGACGACAACCACUCCCGUGCAAACAAAGGUACAGACUGGUCCUGGUGAGCAUUCAGGAAAAGAACACUUGGCUAAACUUCAGGAAAAAGAUGCACCGAAUCUUAGUGGAGUGAAGUUGAGGUCUGGGAGAUCCAUUUUCUCCUGAAGAUAUGAAUAUGUAAGAUGAAGUAGAAGUAGAAGUAGAAGUACAAGAAGAAGAAGAAGAAGAAGAAGAAGAAGUACAUAUAAAUUCAGUCUGUGUACUGUCAAUUGUUGUAUGUUUACUGUCAAAGCAAGAAUUAGUCAAUUGCUGUCUGUUUACUGUCAAAGCAAGAAUGACAAUAUUGUUAUGGUCAAUUGUUGUCCGUUUACUGUCAAAGCAAGAAUUAGUUUCCUAGGUUAAUGAAACAUUACCAGCCAUAAUUAGUUUUCUGUAUCUUAAUUAUCUCUGAACAUUUUUGCCUGAAAACUGAAUGUACAAUGUUUCUGUAGAUAAUUUGGUCGAAAAGGGACGACAUGCUGAGGUGUACAACAUUCAGUUUCUCUUUCGACAUGCUGAGCUCUAUAAGUGCUCACAUUCUUUGUAUGGAUCUUAUUGAAUGAGUACUUGUUAACAUUGGUACCAUUUUCUUCAGAUUUUCGUUGGUGGUCUUCUGAUUGAUUUGGAAGGAAGAAUUGUUGGUAUGAAUUUCAUAGACGAGAAUAGAACUCCCUUUUUGCCCGUCCAGAUUGUUGGGAGAUGCCUGAAACACUUCAGAAAUUUGGGACACUUCUUUCCUGUAUAUGGGACGAUUGCUUGAAGGAUUUGGUGUUGGUGUCAUAUCCUACACGGUGAACAGAUGGACAGUGGCUGCUCCUUGCUGAUCAAUUCAAAAUUGCUCUGGCUAUCAAUUCAAGCUUGCUGUGACUGGUGAGAAGACGUCCUGGUCAAUCACCACAUCUGAUCAAUUUCAGUCUGUGGCGAGAAGAAGUGGUACAACUCCGGCGAUCAAUUUCUUUGGCGAUUAACAAUUUUGAUCAAUUCAAACAGCAACACAGGCAGCGCUAGUGCUGCUGUUGGUCAGUGCGGGGAGGAGCACGGGCGGAGGUCAAUUGGCCGGAUCCGGAGCUCCAGUGCCUAAAUCGAGGAGCUGGAAGGCUGAGGCAGGAGUAGGAGCACAGGCUGCGCUGCUGCUGCUGUUGGUCAGUGCGGGGAGGAGCACGGACGGAGGUCAAUUGGCCGGAUCCGGAGCUCCAGUGCCUGAAUCGAGGAGCUGGAAGGCUCAGGCAGGAGGAGGAGGAGCACGGGCGGCGCUGCUGCUGGUCGGUGCGGGGAGGAGCAUGGGCGGCGCGAAGGCCAGGAGUCGCGGGCGGCGCGACGGCCAGGAGUCGCGGGCGGCUGGAGGCUGUGGCGGACGGCGAGGGAGCUGCGUACGAGUUUGGGCUCUUGAUUGGAGCGGAGGAAGGCGGCCGACGAGGGAGCUGCGGCCAGCGCGGACGGACGCCGGAGCUGCAGCAGUGGGAUGGAGCCUGGCGGAGGGGAGGAGCGAUGGAGUAAGACGAAGAUCCCCGGCGACAAGAAUUUCAAAUUGAGGGUAGUUUGGUACUUUAUCCUGUUUUCACCUGGUCGGAAAAGUUCCCCAACGACAACUAUUCGGAAAAGUUCCCCAACGACAACUAUUUCAGAACAGAGGGAGUAUAUGGUAUAAAUAUAAUUCAUUCCACUCAAA